rnacentral:rRNA from 1 species
UGGGCGAAAGCCUGAUCCAGCCAUGCCGCGUGUGUGAAGAAGGUCUUCGGAUUGUAAAGCACUUUAAGCUGGGAGGAAGGGCAUUAACCUAAUACGUUAGUGUUUUGACGUUACCG